GGCGCGCAUCUAGGGCUCUCUCAUCCCGAGGCGGCGGAGACCGGGCCGACGAGCGCGGAGGGCAGAAGCACUCUACUGCGGCCCGAAACUACACCUUUGUGUGUGUGGGGUAGCUUUCGGAAAAAAGAUCCGUCCGGAAGGAAUUGCGGCGCAAGUUUCCUCUGAGUCACCACGGCGCUUCGGCCACCCUACCCCUGCUGUUAUCUGUUUUUCCUUUUUCUUCAAAUACACCUGUUCGGCGACCCAGCCGAGCCAUCUGGAAGACUGACCAGCCCGCCUAAAUUAUUUUCUACACCAGCAAGAGCUGUGUAACUGGGAACCGCCCUCAGAAAAUAAAAAGAGAGGGAUCAGCAGAGUGUGCUCAGAGCAGUAGGAGAUUGUAACUGCGAACAACUCUGUCCGUUCUCCUCGCGAGUAAAGGCAAUAAAGGCCUACUACUGGAGCGAAACUGAGUGCUUUGACGCUCGCCGCUCGGCCCCACAACCGUCCAGAGAUUCGGAGGAGGCCUCCCCUGAAAGCUGGAUUCUGUUGGAUUGUUCUAUUUUGUACUCAUGAAGCUAUGUUCCUUUAUUUAACAAUUAAGUUCCGUUUCCAAAACACCAGGGUAAUACAUGUUUAAGUUUUGUUAUCCAUGAGAAUAUGUAGAAGGUAGAUUACUGAAGAAUGAUGGUGUUAGGGUGACUCCCCCUUUUCUGAUAACACCCAAGGCCAGAGGUACCUUCUGCUAAACAUAUAUCAAAAUCUUUGGAUGAACAGUCAUAACGAAACCUUCUAUGUGAAUAAAAGGAUUUAGCUCAAAUAAACGAGGUGUGUCA